rnacentral:lncRNA from 1 species
GGCCCCAUCACACCUCACAUCAGGGAUCGAGUCCCGCUUCCUACAAAUGUAGGAAUUUGGUUAAUGGGUCGGCCAGUUUUUUUUAUUUUUAUUUUUUAAGCAAAAACAAAGUUUUUGCAAUUUUUGCAUAUUUUUUAAUUGGUAAUUAUUUUGCGUAAUCGUAUUAGAAAACGUCAUCACGCCAAUGUCCGUAUUACCAAUCACAUCUAAUUUUGAAAAAUUAUACCCUGGUUUGUACAAGUUUAGCC